rnacentral:rRNA from 1 species
CAUCGGUGGACAGGUGGUGGCAUGGUUGUCGUCAGCUCGUGUCGUGAGAUGUUGGGUUAAGUCCCGCAACCGAGCGCAACCCCUAUUGUUAGUUGCCAUCAUUCAGUUGGGCACUCUAGCGAGACUGCCGGUAAUAAACCGGAGGAAGGUGGGGAUGACGUCAAAUCAUCAUGCCCCUUAUGACCUGGGCUACACACGUGCUACAAUGGUUGGUACAACGAGUUGCGAGUCGGUGACGGCGAGCUAAUCUCUUAAAGCCAAUCUCAGUUCGGAUUGUAGGCUGCAACUCGCCUACAUGAAGUCGGAAUCGCUAGUAAUCGCGGAUCAGCACGCCGCGGUCGAAUACGUUCCGGGCCUU